CUACGGCGUUUCUCAUGUGGCGCGUGGCUAAAGUAAUCUUAAUAAAACGGUUGGCCUUCGAGGUUUUUUCGGGCGCGAGGCCUCGUACACGGAUCAAAAUAUCGUUUGUAAUUCUUUCACUGUCUGCGCAUCACGCGAUAACGGUAUGAUUAAAAAAAAAAAAAAAAAAAAAUACUAUUAUUGUACGACGGCGCGCGUAACGAAACACUCGACCGCCCGGUGACGGCGCGAAGUAUUUCUCAC